rnacentral:rRNA from 1 species
UACGUAGGGUGCAAGCGUUAAUCGGAAUUACUGGGCGUAAAGCGUGCGCAGGCGGUUUUUUAAGUUUGUCGUGAAAUCCCCGGGCUCAACCUGGGAAUGGCGAUGAAGACUGCAAGGCUAGAAUCUGGCAGAGGGGGGUAGAAUUCCACGUGUAGCAGUGAAAUGCGUAGAGAUGUGGAGGAACACCGAUGGCGAAGGCAGCCCCCUGGGUCAAGAUUGACGCUCAUGCACGAAAGCGUGGGGAGCAAACAGG